CAAACAGGUCCAGGUGGCCAUUUUUACUCUCAAGGGAUUUCUCCAUGGCUGUCUUCAGGAAGACAUCCAGAGAUGGUUAAACAAAGUAGUCUUUCCCCAGGAAGUCCU